rnacentral:sRNA from 1 species
GGAAGUAAAAAGUCGUAACAAGGUUUCCGUAGGUGAACCUGCGGAAGGAUCAUUACCGAGUGCGGGCCCCUCGGGGCCCAACCUCCCACCCGUGUUGCCCGAACCUAUGUUGCCUCGGCGGGCCCCGCGCCCGCCGACGGCCCCCCUGAACGCUGUCUGAAGUUGCAGUCUGAGACCUAUAACGAAAUUAGUUAAAACUUUCAACAACGGAUCUCUUGGUUCCGGCAUCGAUGAAGAACGCAGCGAAAUGCGAUAACUAAUGUGAAUUGCAGAAUUCAGUGAAUCAUCGAGUCUUUGAACGCACAUUGCGCCCUCUGGUAUUCCGGAGGGCAUGCCUGUCCGAGCGUCAUUGCUGCCCUCAAGCCCGGCUUGUGUGUUGGGCCCCGUCCCCCCCGCCGGGGGGACGGGCCCGAAAGGCAGCGGCGGCACCGCGUCCGGUCCUCGAGCGUAUGGGGCUUCGUCACCCGCUCUAGUAGGCCCGGCCGGCGCCAGCCGACCCCCAACCUUUAAUUAUCUCAGGUUGACCUCGGAUCAGGUAGGGAUACCCGCUGAACUUAAGCAUAUCAAUAAGCGGAGGAAAAGAAACCAACCGGGAUUGCCCUAGUAACGGCGAGUGAAGCGGCAAGAGCUCAAAUUUGAAAGCUGGCCCCCUCGGGGUCCGCAUUGUAAUUUGCAGAGGAUGCUUCGGGAACGGCCCCCAUCUAAGUGCCCUGGAACGGGCCGUCAUAGAGGGUGAGAAUCCCGUCUGGGAUGGGGUGGCCGCGCCCGUGUGAAGCUCCUUCGACGAGUCGAGUUGUUUGGGAAUGCAGCUCUAAUUGGGUGGUAAAUUUCAUCUAAAGCUAAAUAUUGGCCGGAGACCGAUAGCGCACAAGUAGAGUGAUCGAAAGAUGAAAAGCACUUUGAAAAGAGAGUUAAACAGCACGUGAAAUUGUUGAAAGGUAACCGCUUGCGACCAGACUCGCCCGCGGGGGUUCAGCCGGCACUCGUGCCGGUGUACUUCCCCGCGGGCGGGCCAGCGUCGGGUUUGGGCGGCCCGUCAAAAGGCCUCUGGAAAGGUAACGCCUCCUCGGGGCUUCUUUAAAGCCCGGGCGUGCCAUGGGGGCCU